ensembl:lincRNA Gm28077 predicted gene 28077
GAUAAUGUCUCCAAAAGAAAAUCGGGCACAAAGCUGCUGCGCGGAUGCUGAGCAAACCCCCGGGAGAAGAAGAAACUCAGGCCCCUGGAUCCAAUCCUUCUGAUCUCCCAAUUCACCCAACUACACAAAAGCAUAGAGGCCAGUGACCUACUUUGGCAUCCAUCAGUCAAGCCUCAUGGGAAGAACUCUGAUUCCACUCCUGUGGAUAUUCCGAGCAAGCACAGAAGAGAAUCAAGAGCCUCGUCCCAGAGCCCUCCCGGUCAAGGAGACGAGAUGUGCCCUGUGACCGGCAUCAUUUGCCCGAGUCAGUUCUGAGAAUGCAUGUACUCCUGGAAGGGGCUGGAGCCAAUGGGAAGUUCCAGGAAAAGACUCAGAGUCUUCCAGGGACAACUGAACGUGGAAGCCAGAACUUCUCAGACCGAACCCUGAGACUGGCUGGGCAACUUUCAGUGACAUUCAGAUCAGCCGUGGCGGGCAGGGCUGUGAGCAGGACAUCAGAGGCACACCCGCUGAGGGGUUCGGCUCUCCUGCCCUGAGCAUAGAGACUCAUCCCUGGGGCAAGCAGAGGGAUAGACACCCUUCAGGACCACAAAGUCCGUGUACUACAGACAGUCAUCUUGUUUAUGAGAAGGAAGGAAGAGAUAUUUCAGAGCAAGGAUAUGCGUUCCUAUCUUGACUGUGGGCCUCUGUACAAACUCUGGCAAGGAGAUGGGUCAGUCUUAUUCCUGAGACCGGGUAUUGUGUAGGUGUUACUAAAAGUACCAUAUACUUCCCAGUGAUGACUCCCUGGCGGGAUGUGUGGGUAUUACUUCCCGGCUCACCAUGACAGCCACAGGGAAGGGCCGUGGCGUGUAGUGGCGGCAGUUCAAUACUGAGGUAGCACACUGCCCAAAGCAGGCUCUUUGUACUCCAGACAAUAAAAAGGGACACAAACAAAGAGCUUUGGGACGCAGCAGCCCGCUGCCGCAGCAACGGGCCAAGAACUGUCUCCAAGGGUCAUUAAAAAAAUAAUAUUUUUCCAAAUUAAUAAAAUGCAACCGUCCACACUCAGGACCAACAGCUUGUAAAAUUGGAUUUCUGUAAGAUGAAAGGGUAAAGGGGAACAGCCUGAUCAGAGGCUGCUCACCAGGGGUGUUGACAAGAAGGGGCCUGCCAGGGAGGCACAGAUGAGUGGCCUGCACGUUGGCACCAACGUGCCCCUUCUGCCUGAGAUGACAGUUCCUGAAUUCUACCAGCUAGAGGGCCUGAGUGGUAGGAGAGAUAAGGGGUCCUCUGUCUUCACCCCUUAGGCCCCUAUACUAGAGAGUGAGGGGCAGGGCCUAAGGUCCAAGCCAAACAAAAACAUCGUCGAGUCACCAGGGUCAUUCUAGGUCUCUGAGAUGGGGUGCCAGAUCCUGAAGUAUCGCUCUGUCUCUUUCACAACGCCGAGCUUCUACACUGAGCAAGUAUAGAAUGUCCAGAACGGAGAAGCUCUACAUCUGCAUUUAAACACUGAACUGAAGAUAGAACAGAUGACAUCCUAUGCGGUACCUAAUCCGAUGUCCCUUGGGAACUGAAGGUCAGUAGAAAGCUGCCUUACUGCCCUGAUUUAAAAG